AGCAGCCGCGGUAAUUCCAGCUCCAAUAGCGUAUAUUAAAGUUGUUGCAGUUAAAAAGCUCGUAGUUGAAUUUCGGGGUUAGUGAGUUGGUCGUGCCUCUGGUAUGCACUGGCUCUACUGAUUCCUCCUUCUUGAAGAACUGUAAUGUCAUUAAUUUGGUGUUGCAGGGAAACAGGACUGUUACUUUGAAAAAAUUAGAGUGUUUAAAGCAGGCAAUCGCUUGAAUACAUUAGCAUGGAAUAAUGAAAUAGGACGUUGAUACUAUUUUGUUGGUUUCUAGGGUUGACGUAAUGAUUAAUAGGGAUAGUUGGGGGCAUUAGUAUUCAAUUGUCAGAGGUGAAAUUCUUGGAUUUAUUGAAGACUAACUACUGCGAAAGCAUUUGCCAAGGAUGUUUUCAUUAAUCAAGAACGAAAGUUAGGGGAUCGAAGACGAUCAGAUACCGUCGUAGUCUUAACCAUAAACUAUGCCGACUAGGGAUCGGAUGAUGUUAAUUUUUAAUGUACUCAUUCGGCGCCUUAC
rnacentral:rRNA from 1 species